rnacentral:rRNA from 1 species
GGAGGGUGCGAGCGUUAAUCGGAAUUACUGGGCGUAAAGGGUGAGUAGGUGGAGUUUAAGUGCUUGUGAAAGCCCUGGGGCUUUAAACCCGGGGAUGGUCAGGCAAAACUGGACUCCUAGAGUACGGUAGAGGAGAGUGGAAUUUCCGGUGUAGCGGUGAAAUGCGUAGAUAUCGGAAGGAACAUCAGUGGCGAAGGCGACUCUCUGGACUGAUACUGACACUGAGUCACGAAAGCGUGGGGAGCAAACAGGAUUAGAUACCCUGGUAGUCCACGCUGUAAACGAUGAGAACUAGCUGUUGGGAGGAUAGACUCUUAGUGGCGCAGCAAACGCGUUAAGUUCUCCGCCUGGGGAGUACGGCCGCAAAGGCUAA